AAAUUGCUCAUUAACACAGUAUAUAUAUUUAUUUAAACACGCAACACAGCCUCGAAUACGUCUUCUCUUCUACGAUAUAAUUAAAUGCCAGCCUUGGUGACGAUUCAACUACAAAUACUGGACUAACAAACUGGACAAUUUAAAGGUAUGGUUGCGUAUUGCAAUUUGUUGGGCUGAUUUCAGAUGCAUGUUAAUAAUCAAUGAUAUUUGAAAAAUAUGUGGCAAACAUCAUCUGAUGGUCUCACUGAAAAUAUGUGUCAACAUUAAACAUACACACAUUACAUAUACACACACAAAAAUACAACUACACAUGUACCAUAAACACACUUAACACAUGAUUUACCCUGUUGUCAUGGAAAUUGGUCUCGGGAUUAAACAAUCCAAACAUGUGUAUACUACAUGGUAAGCCACCCCAAAUUCUUCAGCUGAAAUCAUUUCAGGUCACUGUAGGUAAAGUGCUUGGACAAGUGUAGGUUUGUAAUGUAAACACAAUAAGACCUUUCCCAGUUUUUUCUGUGCUUGCUCCCAAAUCCUGUAUAUGGUCAUUGGUUCAGCCAAGUUAGAAAGGGCAUAUGUUUUACACAACUUGACUGAAUGAGAUAUACCUCAUCAACAUGCUAUGCAAACAACAACCCCUGUAACAUUUAAAGUCUUGAGAAUUUUAUUUAUUUUGCUCAUAACAUAAACUACUAGUAUUUACAUUCAAAGGAAUCUAGAGCUAUAGCAAUAUUUAUGCAAAUUUAAUACUCUUGUGGGUUUUUAUUUAUAGACCCAUGCACUAUGCAAACAACAAUCCCUGUAACAUUUAAAGUCUUGAGAAUUUUAUUUAUUUUGCUCAUAACAUAAACUACUAGUAUUUACAUUCAAAGGAAUCUAGAGCUAUAGCAAUAUUUAUGCAAAUUUAAUACUCUUGUGGGUUUUUAUUUAUAGACCCAUGCACUCACCCACAGCUGAACUUCUCAACAAGCUAGGUACAUUGGCACAAAUUAACAGCUUAGCCCAUCAAGUUCCACUGCACCCUACUGGGGCUAUGGUGGUGUGCUGAUUGUGCCACCGACUUUGGUAGUGCAAUUGUCAGAGCGAGGACUUUUUACAUCUGAGAUUGUUGGUUCAAUUCUCACCACUUCAACGACACUUAAAUGUGAAAAGAGUCAUGCUGUCAACACUCUGACAAAAGUUGUGGGUUUUCUCCGGGAACUCCAGUUUUCUAUAGAGGGAAUGUUGACGGGUGGCUUGGGAUUAGCCUCUAACUCACCCUCCAUAAGGUGGCUGCCAGAGGCACCCUCAGAAAGUCUUUUACUCAAUCAAAUUGUGCGAUGUUGAACUGUACCAGCUACAGAGAAAAUAUACAUUUCAUGGGUUGCAAAUAUAAUAUUAUAUCUAUAUUCAUAUCACAUGUAGUUGAAAAUCUUUUGGAAUUCAAGAACAUCAGUGACAAAUGUCAAACUGCACACAAUACACUGAAAAACAAAAAUAUUCAAAUCACUUCAUGGCAAAUUUAAUAUACAUGUAUCAAGCAGUAGUCAUAGUAGUGACAGCACUACUGGGUUCUGUAUCAAUUCAGUGAUUGUUUGCUGAAAAUAAACUAAGUAUUUACAACUUUUAGAAUUGUAUAGUAUAAAGACAUUUGAUCAGCAAAUCUCUUUGGCUGGAACUCGACAUGGGCUUUUGAUUCUGGUGUUAAAUUAUUAAAGGUGCUUCCCUGGUUGAAAUUAUUCUUUCUCCUUUUGUGGGGAGCUUACAAAUUCUUUUAAAAUAUGAAACCUAUUUCUUGUAGUCAUCUUGACCAAGAUUUAUACAAUGAUGCACACAUAAUAUACAGAGAAUAAUGAAAUCUCAAGGCAAACCAAUACAAACACUCACCUCUAACACUCAUUUCUUGAUAAUUCCUUGAUAUAAUAUUCAGCACCAAAAACGCCAAAAAUAAUUGAAAAGGCACGAGUAAAAAGCUGAAUGGUUCGACUCUUCAGAUAUCGUAUUUCUGAAGAGUCAUAUUUACAUUUUCUGCCAGGCGCUGCGGAAUCCCGUCAUACCCUGACCAUGCAGGGCGCUAUAAAACACGGCCGGGGAAACGCGCUAAUAAAUGACCGUGCUACGUGUGAUGCACAUUAGGAUUGGCGCGAGCGCGCUUUCUCUAAAAAAAUCAGAAAAUCGCGUACAAGAUGGCAACAAAAAAAAUGUAAACAAGCAAACGAGAAAACAAAGGAUUUGAAUGCUAAGUAAUUAUGUUUCAAUAAGUUCUUUGAAAUUAUGUCAAUUACGUCGUUUUAAUUAUGUUUCGUUAAUUAAAAUUUGAAAUAUUAUGUAAUGAGUUAUAAUACCUUGUGUUGUUUGUUACUGAACACUCGUUGAAAGAAAAUAUCAGGGCAAAAAUUUCACUCGAGCGACGAAAAUAUUUGCAAAAUUUAAACCGCGGACGUAUUUAAAAUAGUGUUUUCUCCUCGUUGAGAUAGGUUGAGAUAAAUUUGAACACACCAAACUAUAGACAUUUAACUUGGCUUUAUGUCUCAAGUAAAAUUGAACGGGGCUUUUUUGAGCUCUUUUCAUAAAACGGAGAUAUCUUGCAGCCUUUAUAGUUUUCCGUAACACUGUCACUGCAUGUGUAUCAUGUCAACGACUGCAGUCGCACGAAAAAAGAUUCACACUGAAUAUUUUUGAGUGUCGGCGGCAGUUAUACCAAUAAUAGAAAUCAAAUCAAUUAGUAAAAAAACAUUUUACAAUGAAAUUUCAAUGGAUUCCGAGCAUGCCGGCUGGUUAACACAAAAGCGGUUAUAUAUUUAAGUUUUCAAAUUGUCGAGCAAAUUUUAGUUGUUUUUAUCAAAUUGUAGUUGUUUUAAAUGCAUGCAUGGUCAAUUUUGGGCUGUAUGAUUAUUGAAAAAUAGUAGCCAAGCAAUGUCGGAAUAUUCUUACUGUGAAAAUGUUUAUCCUACCUUCGCAUUAUGAAGUAAAAUAUCCCAUUUCAUACCAAAAUUUUCGUAUUUGGAAUAUGCCCACAUUCGAUCAGCUCGAUUCCUUUUCAAUUUUUUAUUUCGCUCAGAUGAAUCUUUAAAAUCCUUUUUCCUUCAUUAGAUAUACAGAAAAUGAAUCCAACAAUGUCUUCAAACCAUCAAGUUGUUUAGGAAUGUGCAGAAAACAUUUUUUACUUUAGUUUUUUCAGCUCUUUUUUGCAUAAACAUUCCAAUUCCAUUUUUAUUGACAUUAUAAAUUAAUGUAUACGGGGGAUCUCACAAAGAUCAGGGGCGCUAUCUCCGUUUCACCGCCCGUGUUUUAUAGCGCCCUGUCGUGACCUAGCACCCCCGCGCGCUCGCUCAUCUUAGCCACUGAUCUAUAUAAAAACACUGUAGUGUUGCUAUUUUCAGUACGUUAUUUGCGCCUGGAUACGAGGCUGUUAAAACCCUAUUUGACUUUAGGCCAUAUUUGCGCAAAGCCAAAAGACCCUGUUAAAACAAAUCAGAAAACUCAUGCUGUAUAUUCCAUACCAUGCGGUGACUGCGAGAAAGAGUAUUUGGGUCAGUCUAAACGCCAGUUUGGUAUACGGCUAAAACAACAUCAAAAGGCAGUUUCAACCUUAGACAAGGGAAAAUCAGCUUUAGCCGAACAUGUAUGUUACACCAAACACGAGAGUGCGUGGGAAAACUCUAAAGUAAUUACCACAAACAAUCGCUAUGGUCAAAGACUUUGCCUAGAAACGUGGCAUAUAAAUAUGAGUAAUCAUGCUUUGAAUAGGGAUGACGGUGCCUAUUUGCCAGAGGAAUAUAUGCAUCUCAUUGGCAGGUGACGUCAUCCCUUUGGUAUUUAAGAAGCCACGAUUGCAAUUUUAGAUCACCCCUGAUGAAGACACUAGACUGGAGUGUCGAAACGUUGGAUCACUUUGAUUACAAUUCGACUGGGCUUUGUAAUCAUUUAUUUAAAUCAGAGUAGCGAGCGAAACAUGAUUGAUAUACCUGGUUGCAGUGAACGAACAAACUUUAAAUUAAAAAUUGUAUUUGCUUAGCUAAUAGUCAGCAAAUUUUUUAACUUUCGGUAUAAUAUAUCUUUUAUAGACCCUCCUCUCGGGGGAUUCGUCGAAAUAUUACCCUCAGUGAUGAUAUUUCCCUCGGGGCUAAAUAUCACUUUAGGUAAUAUUCCGCCGAAUCCCCCUCGCUCCGGGUCUAUAAAUGAUAAUUAGGUGCACGCAUAUAAUGUGUGUGCUGUUUUGUGACUUUUGUAUAUGUCAAUCCAUUGGAGAAGUCCCCUCCCCCCCCCCCCCCCCCUACACGCUACAGGCAAUAAUACUUUUACUUCAAGUAUUUUAAAGGAUACUUUGUACUUUUUACUUAAGUAUGUUUUGCCUCCAGUAUUUUUUACUUUUACUCAAGUCGUUUUAUUGUUAAUUACUUAUACUUGUACUCGAGUACAAAUUCAAAGUAAUUUAGGCACCACUGUAAUCAUACAACAAUUGUAUUUCGUGACAAAAACUCUAGUGUAAACGAGUUUAAAAUUAAAAGAACCUACUUAAGCGGUUUCAGCAGCAUAUUCUGUUGCGUAUUUUUCUUCUUUUUUACAUUCUGUAUUUGAACACAAAAUUGGAAAAUCGUAGUUUCUAAUUAUGCUAGUUAUGCCGCCAUUUUCUUUAUGUAUGCGUAGCCGGUCGGAGCGGCAACAAUUUUUCACUUGUUGCCCGGUGCGAUCCAUUGCCACGCAAGUCACGUGACCACAAAUCAGCCAAUCACUUUUGGUGUUCACCCUACCUAUAUAACAACUUAGAUUGAAGAAUGGCCGAAGUGAUUAUAUUCAUCAUCGAAAAUAAGAGACUGCUGUGCUAAAUACCAGUUCAUUCUCGCAAUGUAAUCGCACAUGCGCAAAACAUAAAACAUUUUUAAUUCUGAGCUUGAAUCCUGUAGUGUAGUAAUAUUGCGUAAUAUAGUGGGCGGCGACAUUUAUUUUCGAACUCAUGUGUAUUUAUCUUACAAACUGGUGGCCCAGAAUUACACGUAAAUUGGAUCAAAAUCAUCUCCAUCGUAUCCAAAAAAUAAAUCAUUUAUAUAUUUCUUUGAUCUUGUCUAGAAAUUGCUAUUAAAUAUUUUAUUAAACUGUAAUAUUAACUAAUUUUGUUCUAGGAGGUGAUAUUCAUACGCAUUCCAGCUCGUCGUUUUUAUUCUCCCUGCGAAACAAAGACAACCUUGCUCCAUUUAUUGCCAACAUCAAGCAAGGUCAGGAGCCGUAUGCGAUUGUCAGUAACUCUGGUUGCGGACCAAUCUUUGGUAUUUAUCGCCAAGAUCUGUGCAUUAAUAAGAAUCCUCAAGUUAAUCAAUCAUACAGCAAGUUUGGAAACUCAUAUCAACUUCCUGCUGGUUAUGUUUGUGGAAGUGAACAAGCAAACAACCUUCUUGCUGGUCAGCACAAAUUCUUAACAAUGGAAAUCGAAGUUUUCAACUGAAAACGUUUGCCUGUUUACUUUAACCGCAAUUGCAUUGCAGUGAUUAUCUUAACCAAUUUUACGCAGUGGUAGUGCAUGAUUUUACUUGGAAAUCAACAUUUGCUGUAGGGGUUAGCGUAGUAAAAUAAAGUUUUACCUACCCACCUACCUA